AUUGAACGCUGGCGGCAUGCUUUACACAUGCAAGUCGAACGGCAGCGGGGGCUUCGGCCUGCCGGCGAGUGGCGAACGGGUGAGUAAUGCAUCGGAACGUGCCCAUGUCGUGGGGGAUAACGUAGCGAAAGCUACGCUAAUACCGCAUACGUCCUGAGGGAGAAAGCGGGGGAUCUUCGGACCUCGCGCGAUUGGAGCGGCCGAUGUCGGAUUAGCUAGUUGGUGAGGUAAAGGCUCACCAAGGCGACGAUCCGUAGCGCGUCUGAAAGGAUGAUCCGCCACACUGGGACUGAGACACGGCCCACACUCCUACGGGAGGCAGCAGUGGGGAAUUUUGGACAAUGGGCGCAAGCCUGAUCCAGCCAUGCCGCGUGAGUGAAGAAGGCCUUCGGGUUGUAAAGCUCUUUCGGCCGGAAAAAAAUCGGCGGCUCUAACAUAGCCGCUGGAUGACGGUACCGGACUAAGAAGCACCGGCUAACUACGUGCCAGCAGCCGCGGUAAUACGUAGGGUGCGAGCGUUAAUCGGAAUUACUGGGCGUAAAGCGUGCGCAGGCGUUUUUUAUAAGACAGAUAUGACAUCCCCGGGCUUAACCUGAGAACUGCGUUUGUGACUGCAA
rnacentral:rRNA from 1 species